ACUGAGAGCCAUCAAGACCGUCAAAGACGUCCUCCUCUCCUCGGUCCACCAGACGGAUACACUGAGAGGACCCCGCACCUUGUGGCCUCACACACACACACACACACACAAACACAUACACACACACAGGAUGUCAUGUGUCGAUUUACUCACCCGUUUGUGCCUCGUGAUGCACACCUGGAACCGGAAGGAUGCUCUACGUCCACGAGUACAUGUGGCGGACGCAGCUGGAGAAGAACCUUCUGGAUUGGAAAAAAGACACCUGCACGCUCCCUGGUACAAUGUGCUCCUUCUGCAAAGAAUAGAGCCUGUUCCUGUCUUUGGUUAUCUAGCUGUAUGAGUGUUAACCAUCCAUCAUAAAGCUAGAUAACCGAAAGUAGGAAUGACCUUCAAACCUUCUCUUCUCUGCAUGAAUGAAUACGCAAGAUGAAUAAAGAAGGACACCGAGAAAGACAAGAGAGCGUGCUGUGUCUGCAGGAAAACAAGCAAUGGAUGUCACCACACUCCAGAUCAUCAACUCAGCGUUUUAUUGGGGCAACUAUCUGUCCCAGAAACAUCCAUCCAUGUUCUACACAGCUUUUCCUCAUUACGGUCACAGGAACAAAUCCCAGCUGACUUUGGGAAAAAGGACACAUACAGACAAGCAUAAGUACCAGGUUCAUAUGUUUGUCUUAACGAAUACAUAUUCCUACACACACAUUAAUUAUUGAUAGUUGCAGUAUAUGAAUGUCAUAUGAAUUUCUGAAAAUGUGUUUAUGCAGUGCAAUGCCUUGAAAAAGUCUGCUUCUGGGAAUAAAACUGUAA